rnacentral:lncRNA from 1 species
UUUUUUUUUUUUUUUUCCUCUCCUGGAAAAAGCAUAGAUAGGGCUUAAACCCCAUGUAUGUAUCUUUAGGAGUAGAUUCUCCAUCCCACAAUGGUUAAUGCAUGCAUGUGUAUCAGAAACUAUCUGCUAUAAAAAACAAAGUCCUAAAAGUUGCAGAUUAUUUACUUUUGAAAAAUAUACUUUUCUUAAUGCAGAGUGAUCCCUAUUAUAGAAUAUAUAUAGGUUAGCUUUCGCUGCAUGACAAGCAACUCCCCAACUAGUGGCUGCCAAAACCACCAUUUAUGUAGUUCAUGAUUCCUCUGGUCAGCUUUCGAGCUGAGUUCAGCUGGGCAGUGCUUCUGGUCUCUGUGGGACUCACAAAUGUGUUUGCGGUCAGCUUCCUGGCUGGCUGGGUGAUGGCUGAUCCAGGGAGGGCUCUGUUGGGACUUUCUCCCCAGUCCUUCAAGCAGUCUUUUAUCCUCCAGCAGGACAGCUCAAGCCCACUCUCAUGGUGGUGGGAGCAUGAAAACAAAAGUAUGCAAGGCCUAAUGAAGCCUAGGCCCAAAACUGCUAUCUUGUCAGUUCUGUUAUACCUUAUCAUCCAAAGCAAAUCACAAAGCCACCCUGGAUUCAAGGAUGGGGAAAUCCUCUCCAGUGGUUGAUGAGAUAUGCCAUAGUCACGCUACAAAGAGCAUGGCUACUGGGAAAAGGGAAUGUGGUCAUUUUUUCAGUCUAACACGGUUUAUUUCACAUUGCCAUUCUGUGGAACCCUUGUCCCAUGAAAGGAUCAUAGGGAUUACAGAAAAUAAAAAGUGUGAUCAAGGAAUUUGUGAAAAACUGGUCUUGACAAAAUAAAUAAGCUUCAAUGCAAGACUUCUCAGAGCCUUUAAUCAUCAAGCUGCCUGGUGAGGGAAACAGCAGGUCCAAAUGGAUUGCUCUUUUGAAAGAAAUAUCUCCCAGAAUUCAUGUGCUAUAAAAUGUAUUUUGGGAAAUACAACUAUGAUAAUAUGACUCAGGCUAAUUUGCAUCAGAUAUGUGGUUCUGUGGAAAAGAUAAUAGGGGAGCCUUCACAGGAAGUUCUUACCUGUACCACUCCCAGAGUUCAGCUAGUAUUACUGAUACACAGCUAAGAAUUGGAAUAAUUCUAUGACUGUAAGGAUUUACUCCUAGAAUAUUUGCCAGGAUAAGAGCCGGGCAGUGAAAUUCAUCAAACUGGUGGUAAAUAAAACAGUCACCAAGACCCAUCCCACCUAAAUACUCCAAUCUAAGUAACGACUUGGAAUAUUUCCUUCCGGUCGUUUUUCCCCAUCUGUCUUUAUUUUCUCUGUGUGGUUGACCUCACCCAAGUCUCUGCCAUUUUUUAUUUAAAACUUAACACUAUACCAGAAGCCUUUUUUAAAAAUCAGUCUAGCAGUAGCUCAAUAUUCUGCCAUAUGGUUGUAAUAUUUUGCCUAAUGACAACCCCUCCCCUCAGCUGGAUAUUUAUUUUCACCCCCUAUUUCAUUCUUUGGAAUUGAGCUUCCAUAUCAUAAGAGAAUUGAGUUUCUUUAGUUUCGUUAUUUUGUUUGGUUUGAGAGCAGAAAGGGUCAUCGGGGAAUUGAAGGCAAUGGACUCUUUAUUUGCCUGUUUGUUUGCUUUCCGUGGCACAGUGAACAUGAUUUGGAAGUGCAGGAAGAUCAAGCCAGUUCUCAACAUUUCCAUUGCUGGGGUCCCAGUUGGCUGUUGGCAGAGGAGGAUUCUUCCCAUGUUUUCAGAUAAAUUGCACUUGUGGUCUCGCCAAACUGCAGGCAGGAUUCAGGUUUGGCUCGAGGCUGAGGUCUCACUCACAGCUGUUAAAUCCUCUCCAAACCACAGGCCAAAAAUGAUUGCGUUUGGGGACUCUGAAUCAUUUAUUUCUCUCCUAUUUCCUACCUACCUGUGUCCAGAAGUCAUAGAAGAAAAUCUAUUCUUAGUAAAUGGGUUUUCUGGUUUUUCAGAGUUGAGAGCUCAGGAGAAGAUGGGGGAGUUAAAAAAAAAAAAAUAGUUGGUGUUGAAAUUAGCUUGUGCGUAGUCAUUUUUUUCGCCCUUGGACUAGACUUGACUUUUUCCACAGUUCCUAAAGAGUGUGUGCUGUAGUAGUUUUCCACAAAUCUGAUCUGAGGAAAUUAGAUCUUAGGACACAAAUGGUGAAUCUAACGAAUUCUCUCAGGCUUGUAUCAGGUCAAGGUGGGUCCUGGAAAUCUCCCAGAUUGCUCCUGUGUUCCUGGAUGUUUUCAGGACUCGAAGCAAACAAUGUAAGUGCUCUGAGCCUCAGUUUCUUUGUCUGUAAAAUGGGGAUGUGUCAUAAAUCAAUUGAGUGAGCUCGUGGGUUAAUGUGCCAGGCACUCUUCUAAGGGCUUUACAAUGAAAACUCUUACUCCUCAGAACAACUUUAUGAAAGAAGCCCCAGAGUGAUCCCUGUUCGACAGAUAAGAAAACCUAAGACAGGAGUUCCCGUCGUGGCUCAGUGGUUAACGAAUCCGACUAGGAACCAUGAGGUUGCGGGUUCGGUCCCUGCCCUUGCUCAGUGGGUUAACGAUCCGGCGUUGCCGUGAGCUGUGGUGUAGGUCGCAGAUGCGGCUCGGAUCCUGCGUUGCUGUGGCUCUGGCGUAGGCUGGCAGCUACAGCUCCGAUUAGACCCCUAGCCUGGGAAUGUCCAUAUGCCGCGGGAGCGGCCCAAAGAAAUAGCAAAAAGACAAAAAAAAAAAAAACCUAAGACAGAGAAAUUGUAAAAAAAAAAAAGUAUUGUGCAUUGUAAAUCAACUACAACGCAAUAAAAUGCAUAUGUGCAUACAUACAUACAAAAAAAGUACUGUGCACAAAUUCCUAGCACCCAGUGGGCACUUGGUAUUUCAGGUGAUCUCUGAGAUUCUGAGCCAUCCAAUUUGUCAUGAUGUAUUGUCACCGCCUGUUUAACUGUCUGACCUCUCUCCCAUAGACAGUAAACUCUGGGAGGAAAUGAAUCUUGCCCAACCCCAUUCAUUGUGUCCUGGUCCUAAACAGAAGUGGAUGCCCCAUUAACGCUUACUGAAUGAAGUGAAUGGAUGAAUGAAUUUCAAAUGGUAGCAACUUAGUUCCCUACCUGUGCAGCCUGGCCAAAAUUCUACCUCUUCUUGCCAAUCUCUCACCUGGUCAGGUAUUCAGGGCAUUGCAGGAAGAGAACUCAUACAAAGUACAAAAAACCGCAGGGGAGGGGUGGGUGAGUACGAAUGUGGAUCCUACAUAGAUCUCAGCAGUGAAAAAAAAAAAAUUAAGAAAUUGCUUAAACAGGGCCUCACAUCACUCUCUAUUCUUGCUCUUGAAAGGAGACAAGAUGCAAACUUUGAUAUUUGGGUCAAAUAUCAAAUAACGAAGGAGCCCAGAUUCAUGAAAUAUUUGUAGAACCAAAAAGAUUGUUAUAAGAGCAAACAGAAGUUUUUAAAGACAUUGCAGAAAAUAUUGUUGAGAAGUUUCAUUCACUUUUAAGCCAACAAAUCCCUAGACUGGAGAUACAAUAGAUAAAGAGAGCUGAUUUGGUAGGCCUGGUACAAUGGUAGCAUAGAAGACCUAAGAUUUAAAGUGGAAAACUCCAACAUAAGCUGGUGGCAGGACAGGGUGAAUAUUCAGUUCAAAUACUGACUGUGUACCAAUUGUAUAUAUGAUAGUCACUGUGUGACAGCCUGAAUUCAAGACAGUAAAUAAGACAUACUUUCUCCCUUGCUCUUGGGAGACUAUAUCAGAAGGGAAAAUUUUACUGGAACUUGGACAACCUUACAGAAAACCUAGGAAUGUACAGACUGAUAAAAUCAAUGAAAAAAAUCUAGCCACCAGCUUCAAAAUGGAACAGAAAGUAUAGGGAUAAGUUUGAAAGCAAUCAGUUAUUCAUUCAAUAAACACACGAGUUAAGUCUUAGUCAUACUGUGACAUGGGAAAAGUUUGACCUUAGGGCUUUUCUACAUCCUCUUUCAGCAUAUUUUUAUUGCCUCCUAAUUUCCCUCCCUCUCACCUCACCAACUUCUCAAUUCUCUCUUGCUCUAUCUCUCCUGCCACACAUUCCACAAUUUAAAAGUUGAGCCUCAACUCUUUGUAUGUAAGGAAUGGAGAAACUCACUCACACAAGGGUGCAAGUGGCUAAUACAGUUUACCACACCACCCUGUGCAACAUCAGUGAGCAAGUGUAAGCCAGCAUUUGCAUCUAAUCCUGUAUUUGCUUCUCCCAAAGAAACACAUCUUUAAUUGCAGCAUUUCCAAAAUAGAGAUUUUGCUGUGGGAAGACAUAGGAAAUGCACACUUUUAUAGCUACAGAUUUCUUUUAAGGCAUUUAAUUCAGAGUCAACAGUUUCAGUAAGCCAUUUAUUAAGUUCCUAAUACAUGCCAGGUGCUUGAAUAUGUGCCAUUUUGCUUAUUCCUCACAGCAGUCUCAGAACUGGGCUUUGAAAAGGAGGGAAGGGUUUACAGAAUGGGGAGAGGCACUCUGUGAGAAGGCUACAGCUCUUGGAUAGGAAUGAAGUCAUAGGAGAGGGGGUGGAGGCGGGGUCUGGAGCAAGAAGGGAAGGAAGGGAAGACAAUAGUAGCAGAGCAUGAAAAUAAGAACCAGACGGUGGAAAAUGGCAAUUAUAACAGCUGAUAUGUGUGAAUCAGUGAACUAGGGUCCAGGCCCUGACCUAAGGCCUCUCCUCUGACCCUCACAGCAGACAUGGGGACAAAGGUUCAACUGUCAUCAUCAUACCUGCUGGAUAGUUGUACAGACUGAACAGAUCUGAGACAUAAGUAACCUGUUGCAGGUCAGCAGGCAGCACAAUCAGAAUUCCGACCAAGGCUGCCUACUUCCAGCACCCACUCACUGACCCUGGGACCCUAGUGUGAGUGCCACUUCAGCUUUUUCUGUAGAAGAAGGAAUGGGGAAACUCCCAAAUAGUAUUAAAAAGGUAUCCUGAGGUCUCAUCCCUGACAUGACAAAACAUCACAGACUAUGGUAAGAAUGAAUCCUCAUUUCUGAAGGUAAAAUAAGAAUCAUCAUCUGUGUUGAUCUAUAGUACAAAGAAAGCCUAUAGAAUUUUUCCCAUGGACCUUCCAAAGCACACCACAAAUGGUGCCGUGUGGGAAGCCAAAGAAGACAAAGGCCUUAACCAAAAUCUCUCAGAAGAUCUGAGUGAGACUUGGGUCCCCAGGAGUCCUCUGCCUUCUCACACACCAAGAACCAGAGUAUUUCAGGGGUGUUUUUGUUUUAUUUUAUUUUUUUAUUUUUGCUUUUUAGGACUGUACCAGCAGCACAUGGACGUUCCCAGGCUAGGGGUCAAAUCGAGGCUGCAACUGCAAGCCUACACCACAGCCACAGCCACAGCAAUGCAGAAUCUGAGCCACACCUGCAACCUACACCACAGCUCACAGCAACCAUGGAUCCUUAAUCCACUGAACGAGGCCAAGAUCAAACCUGCGUCCCCAUGGAUACUUGUCCAGUUCAUAACCCACUGAGCCACUACAGGAACACCCAGGGUGUUUGCUUUUACCCACUGAAAUUCAGACAGGGCAGGUAGACAACAGUGGGAGACCCAAACCCAACAGAAAAACCUUUUGCAUGGUGCUGUCAUCGUGCUAUGCUCCACUCCCCACAAACCAGUUUUGCUAAUAAGUCGUUGUGAACCUUCAGCCUAUAUGAAAGUUAACCAGCCUGGAUGACUCCAUUUGAAAUGUUAAAACACAAGGAGCCUCAUUUACUUCCAACCAUUAAUGUAGGUCAGUGAUUAUUGUUCGAUGCCUCUAAUUCCUAUCAAUGACAUCAUCCUCUUUCCCAAAGUGGAAUUGGGCUCUGAGUUGGAAAGUGACCCCUGGGGAAACCUCCAUGGAUUCGGGUAAUAUUCAAGCUGUUCCCUUGGCCCCCCAAGUCUGAGGCAGACUAUUCAGGCAGGGCAGAUAAUCUCUGGUCUUGUCAGAGAUUCUGAUCUCUUAACUGAGAUGAAAAGGCCAGACCGGUCUCCAUUUCCCUGGCUCAGUGGUCAGUAAGAAUGCAUCUCAUCUCACAGGAGCCACAGGAGCCCCAGGCCUUGGACAAAUGCCAAUGUACUGUGUCCUCCCCAACCAGGCCUCAGAUGGUAUCACAGACUCGCAAUAGGAUGUCAGAGGCCCUUUGAAAUCAAAUGGGACUCAUUCUCCAUGUGGGACCCUUGAGCUCUGGGAGGUUAAGAACAAUAUCAUAGGCUAUAGAGUAACUUGCUCAGUUAACAAAGAUUUAUUGAGUUCCUGCUGGGCUCCAGGUCCAUGAUGGGCAUGGGCAGUGAGGUGGUGGACAAGGCUGACCCUGGACCUGCCACUUGGAACUUGCUGGCUGGUAGGAAAUGCAGAAAUUAAACCAGCCAUUGUAAAUAAUGAAGUAAAUCGAUAUCAGUGUGCACAGGGUGGCAAAGGAGAGGUCGUGGGGACUAGGGGCCCCUGUAUGGGGUACUGUUGGGGAGCCUUUAUGGAAGGUGUUCCUGAUGAAGAAACCCAUAAAUAGAAAAUGUGAAGGAGAGGGAGCCACGUGAUGGCAGGGGGUGGAGGCAUUCAAGGUCAAGGGAAUGGCCUGUGCAAAGAUCCAGGGACAGGAAGGGGCACAAUGUUUGAGGAACCAGAGAAAUCCUCAUGGAAGAGAAAAGCUGACAGACGAGGCCAGGAGAAAUCAACAGCCAUUCUAGAACUGAAAUCCAGGACUCCUGGCUACUACCUGGAAUAUGAUUAAUGACAGAGGGAGGGAAAUGCAGAUAGAACCAAAAUGUGGACCCUGCCAAGGUAUGAGAUGAGACAGUGUGCCUUGAAGUGUCUUCCCACUUCCCUCUUCAAGACUAAAGGUAUUGAUGACUACAUAGUGUUACAAGGGAGAACCAAGGUAAUUACAUUUGAGGCCACUAGGUAUUCCUGAGACAAUGUGAUACAGGAGACUGCCCCACUCUGGCCUGAGCAGAUGAAAUCUUGCCCCAACUUGUCCCACUGCAUAAAGCAGCAGUAACAACACUUGAGAGCAAUUGUGACAUCCUGGGCCAUGAUACCUAAUCACUUGGAAGUCAGCUGGAUGAACAGACUGCCACCCUGGGUUCAAUGGUCCUCACUGUGUAACAGGACCAGGACUAGGGUAAUGCAAGUGAGGCACUCAUCUUGGGUCUGAAACUUAAGGGAGC